UUUCAUGCAUCUUUAGUCUGCCAUGAACCCACAGCACUGGUCCUACUGAAAUAAGAAAGGACAAUACAGAAGAAGCAUUUGCAGCAUAUAACUGAGAAGGUGAAAAUAUGUUUUUUUUUUCCUGUGGGACAGUGUAUUUUAUGACAAAAUGAAGGGAGACAGAAAUCAGGAUACAGUACCGGAAGAGCAGGACCCCUGAUUUAUACAUUUGAUGUGAAACGUACUAUGUGCAAUCAGAGUUUUCAUCACUAUCAUCUCAUCCCAAUGCUAUUAAACAGAAAGACUAUGAUAUUUUGAUAGGAAAUGUAAUGCUGUGCAUGGAGCGUGGUGAUUACACUCCAAUAUUCAGAAAAAGACAAAUCAGGUAAGCUCUAGAGUGUUAUGAGACCCCAUCUAAAAUGAUAAACACCACCUGCUUAAGUUAUUAAGGUCAAGUCUCACCUUAGGCAAUGAAAUUUGCCAGUAGUGACCAGCAAAUGCCACUGGCAGAAUAAAGAUUCAUUUCUGCCUGCCAUGCAUUACAAUAAGGACUUCCUGUUACACAGAGAGUUCCCAGAACAGAAUGUGUGUUCACUUUCAUUUUAUGAAGGAUAUGAAGUCUGAAACUUAAAUGUAUGUCAUUAUUUAUGAAUUCAAUCCAAAGUAAUAUGUGAAAAACAUGGACUUUAUGAAGAGCAGACUAAACAUACAAGGUAAAAAUCCUGACGUUGUGUAAAAAUGUGGACUGCAGAGAAGCAAGGAAGAUGAGUGUAAAACAAAAGGGACUGUGUAACACUGUCUGACAACACUUGCUAAGUGCUUUAUGGCUUUGAAAGCUGGACAAUUUCCAUUUUUUUUCUUUUUUACUUUAACUAGUUGUACACAUAGCAGAUAAAGCUCCAUGCACUACAAAGAAUUAUGAUCAGCUAAUUGAUUAUAAAGUAUUAUGUGUUCUUGAAAUGGAUGCCAAGAUUCAACGCUUGAGUGAAUUUUCCACAACACUUCCACUAUUCAGACAAGUUAUGCUUGAAGUUAGUGGUAGGAUUAACAAAGCAAUGCAGAAAAAUAGUUUUCCCUUUAAGUGUUUUUUUUUUUUUUUUUUUUUUUUUUUUGGUGUUUUACGUUUUCAGGUUCUAAUUGUUCAUUUUGCUGGGAUCAGGUCAGCCUAAAGUGACUGCUACUCGGUCUGCCUUGAACCUUAUAAAAUAUCAGUCUGCUCUGGGAAAAGAAACUUAUAACACUACAGACUGUUAUUCCUAACUUCCUCCCUUCUGGUGACUACCGAACCUGGUCAGCCUAAAGUGACUGCUACUCGGUCUGCCUUGAACCUUAUAAAAUAUCAGUCUGCUCUGGGAAAAGAAACUUAUAACACUACAGACUGUUAUUCCUAACUUCCUCCCUUCUGGUGACUACCGAACCUGGUCAGCCUAAAGUGACUGCUACUCGGUCUGCCUUGAACCUUAUAAAAUAUCAGUCUGCUCUGGGAAAAGAAACUUAUAACACUACAGACUGUUAUUCCUAACUUCCUCCCUUCUGGUGACUACCGAACCUGGUCAGCCUAAAGUGACUGCUACUCGGUCUGCCUUGAACCUUAUAAAAUAUCAGUCUGCUCUGGGAAAAGAAACUUAUAACACUACAGACUGUUAUUCCUAACUUCCUCCCUUCUGGUGACUACCGAACCUGGUCAGCCUAAAGUGACUGCUACUCGGUCUGCCUUGAACCUUAUAAAAUAUCAGUCUGCUCUGGGAAAAGAAAGUAGGUUUGAACGCUGUAAUACUGACAAAUUUGGGCUCUUAGUGGGUCUUCCU